rnacentral:rRNA from 1 species
UAGGGAAUCUUCCACAGUGGACGCAAGUCUGAUGGAGCAACGCCGCGUGAGUGAAGAAGGUCUUCGGAUCGUAAAACUCUGUUGUUAGAGAAGAACACGAGUGAGAGUAACUGUUCAUUCGAUGACGGUAUCUAACCAGCAAGUCACGGCUAACUACGUGCCAG